UGCCAGGACUAUAGCAGGUGAGAACAAGUUCUUGGCAUUAGCCAGGGCAUGGAGGGAAGAUUUUUUAAUCACCACUAGAGGGAGGGCUGGUCACACUUUGCAUCAAGGAGCCCAAGGGACCAGAAUGCAGAGGGAGAAGAAAGACAACCAGAGAAGGAAUGAUCGCUGCUUUGCCUCUUCUGCAAAGGUGUAUUAGACGCCAGUGUCUAACGGGUGACAUUGAGAAAACUGAGAUGAGAAUUCACAGUGAGUUUCCAACAAGCAAACCAUCCACAUCUUGUGCAGAAUGGGUCUCUACAGAGGCCUCAGGGUAGGAGACAAGGAGAGGACCUCAGAAACCACGAGUGACAUUGAUGGAUACAGAAACACUGAGAUGCAUCUUACAGGAGUUUUAAGUUUCAAUAUAUACAAGAAAAUGAAUUUCUCAGAUACGCUGCACUUCAAAGUUGUUGGCCCCAUUUCUGCUGCUGUGGUAACUUUUUCUGGCUCCGGAAAAAAACAGUCUAAACUAAUAGAAAUUGGACAAGGUCACGGAGCAUGCUAAGAAAAGACCUGGUAACCUACAAGUACUAAACCCAAGGCUCUCUAUUUCUAGCGUGAAAAAUGGGCACAACGUGAUAUCUUUCUCUGGUAAAGCAAAACCAUUGUAAACA